AAAGGAAUAGACGGGGGCCCGCACAAGCGGUGGAGUAUGUGGUUUAAUUCGAUGCAACGCGAAGAACCUUACCUGGUCUUGACAUCCCGGGAAUUCUUAGGAAACUAGGAAGUGCCUUCUUUGAAGGAGCCUGGAGACAGGUGCUGCAUGGCUGUCGUCAGCUCGUGUCGUGAGAUGUUGGGUUAAGUCCCGCAACGAGCGCAACCCUUGCCUUUAGUUGCCAUCAGUUUAGCUGGGCACUCUAAAGGGACCGCCGGUGUCAAACCGGAGGAAGGUGGGGAUGACGUCAAGUCCUCAUGGCCCUUAUGACCAGGGCUACACACGUACUACAAUGGCCGGUACAACGGGCAGCGACAUCGCGAGAUGGAGCCAAUCCUUCAAAACCGGUCUCAGUCCGGAUUGGAGUCUGCAACUCGACUCCAUGAAGUUGGAAUCGCUAGUAAUCGUGGAUCAGCAUGCCACGGUGAAUACGUUCCCGGGCCUUGUACACACCGCCCGU
rnacentral:rRNA from 1 species